GGCCGUCGGAUCCCCGCGCUUCCCCCCCUCCCCCGCCCCUCCCGCUCCUCUAUAACUUGGUUGGCGUGCAGGAGGCGCCGCCGGAGUCGGAGGGCGGGGAGCUCGGAGGAGGGAGCUCGAGAGUUGUGGAGACUAGUGACUGGGAGAAGUCGCAGCCUGCUUUGGUCGGCUCCUUCCCGCUCCCCGUCUUUCUCUCUUACACACCUACUCCGCCUCCCGCCCCAGCCCGCGACCUCGCUCCUUCUCUCGCCCGGGGGCCCCUGCCGGUCGCUCUCCGGGUUUCGGCGCGGCGGGGGCGCCCACGGGGUGCCCUCGCCCUCCGGGUGCGUGUGGACGGGAGGCGGGCGGGAUGUGGCGCCUGGUGCCCCCGAAGCUGGGCCGCCUGUCCCGCUCGCUGAAGCUGGCGGCGCUGGGCAGCCUGUUGGUGCUGAUGGUGCUGCACUCGCCGUCGCUGCUCGCCUCCUGGCAGCGCAACGAGCUGGCCGACCGGCGCUUCCUGCAGCUCAAUAAGUGCCCGGCGUGCUUCGGCACGAGCUGGUGCCGCCGCUUCCUCAACGGACAGGUGGUGUUCGAGGCGUGGGGCCGCUUGCGCCUGCUGGACUUCCUCAACGUGAAGAACGUCUACUUCGCGCAGUACGGCGAGCCCCGCGAGGGCGGCCGCCGCCGAGUGGUGCUCAAGCGCCUCGGCUCGCAGCGCGAGCUGGCGCAGCUCGACCAGAGCAUCUGCAAACGGGCCACCGGCCGACCUCGCUGCGACCUGCUCCAGGCCAUGCCCCGCACCGAGUUCGCGCGCCUUAACGGCGACGUGCGGCUGCUCACGCCCGAGGCGGUGGAGGGCUGGUCGGACCUGGUGCACUGCCCCUCGCAGCGCCUGCUCGAUCGCCUGGUGCGCCGCUAUGCCGAGACCAAGGACUCGGGCAGCUUCCUGCUGCGCAACCUCAAGGACUCGGAGCGCAUGCAACUGCUGCUGACCCUGGCCUUCAACCCCGAGCCGCUGGUGCUACAGAGUUUUCCGUCUGAUGAAGGUUGGCCAUUUGCAAAAUAUCUUGGAGCUUGUGGAAGAAUGGUGGCUGUAAGUUAUGUUGGAGAAGAACUGUGGAGUUACUUUAAUGCACCAUGGGAGAAACGAGUUGACCUCGCUUGGCAAUUAAUGGAAAUAGCAGAGCAGCUUACAAACAAUGACUUUGAAUUUGCACUCUACCUCCUGGACGUCAGUUUUGACAAUUUUGCAGUUGGUCCUAGAGAUGGGAAGGUAAUCAUUGUGGAUGCUGAAAAUGUUUUGGUUGCUGACAAAAGGUUAAUUAGACAAAAUAAACCUGAAAAUUGGGAUGUAUGGUAUGAAAGCAAAUUUGAUGACUGUGAUAAGGAGGCUUGCUUAUCAUUUUCAAAAGAAAUUCUUUGUGCUCGUGCGACUGUGGACCACAAUUACUAUGCUGUUUGUCAGAACCUCUUAUCCAGACAUGCCACCUGGCGUGGCACUUCUGGAGGACUUCUUCAUGACCCACCAAGUGAAAUUGCCAAAGACGGCCGACUAGAGGCCUUGCUGGAUGAGUGUGCCAACCCAAAGAAGCGCUAUGGCAGAUUCCAGGCUGCAAAAGAACUGCGUGAAUACCUAGCACAAUUAAGUAACAAUGUGAGGUAAUGUUGGAAAAUAACAGACCUGCCAUUAGCAGUCUCUCCUUGGAAAACAUACAUGAAGAAACAGAAUUUGUGAUUCAUAAGGCAAUCAUAUCCCAAAAGGAAAGAGAGAAAGUGGCUGAACUGCACACGACCAGUUCCCUUUCCCAAACUUCCCAGUUAGAUGGGUCACUGGGGAAGGGAGGAAGACAGAUCAGGAGUGCCACUCUUAGGUGGUCCUUCCACCAAGAAACAUUUAAAUUCCAUCUGCACUCACCUUUUAGCUCCUCUGCUGCCACUCUAGAGCUGAGUCACCAUGAAUAAUCUCUCUUCGUCUUUGAGGCUGGGUCAAGCCUAGAGAAUAACAUGGGAAAAUGCCUCAUCCUUACAGUUGAAUUUGCUCUAUGGGUUUCAGAAUAGAUGUUCUUUGCUGAGAGUUACUACAAUGUCUACCUAAAUGUCUUCAUCUUAGACAAUCGUGCGACAAGAUCAGGAUGGCUGCAACCUCAAGGCAAAGGCUGUGUUUACUUCUGUUAAACAUGAUUUGCCAGAGAAGAUUUAAAUGCUGCUGUUUUGCUAUGAUAAAACUAGUGGUGCCUAUGGAUAGAUUUAAAGAUAUACAUUCUCAGAAUACAUUUAAGCAUUUUAAGGAUAUUUUAUCCCAUUCUUUAAAAAGGUCCAGUUUGUUAAAUAAUUCAGAGUAUUAAAUUUUAAGAUCGAGGGAAUUCACUAAGUUUUAAAGAAAGGAGAUAUGAUUUAGAUGCCAGGAUACUCAUGAUUGAGGCAUCUCUUUACCACUAGUGGGCUGAAUAAUCAUGGGAAAAUCACUUUGUUUAUUUGGUUUUCAACUUUCUCUUCUUAAAAGGAAAUAGGAUGAAAUAAUUCCUAAGGACAUUUUCAGCUGCAGCUUCCUGUAGUUUCAAGUUGAUAUAAAUUUAUUGUGGUCUUUAGAAUACACUUAAACACAAUCUUUUAAGAAGUCUCAAAAAUUGAUGUUCUAACACAAUAACUAUGUUCUAAAAUAAUAAAUACUAUGCCAUUGGAUAAGUCAUAAUGAACAAGUUACUGAAAAGUUGUUAAAUAUUAUUCUUUUAAUAAAUAUCUAAACCUUUAAGGAACUGGAAAUCUGUCAUCAUGAUGGGAGGUGACCAUUUAUAACUAUAGUGUGAAGCAAGAUGACUUGAUUAAAAGCUUACUGGAGGAUUAGAUAUGUUCUGGAAGCUGUGGUGGGUCAUAGCACACUUUGUGUGAGAAACAUGCUGAUGCAGACAGUAAUACCAAGGGAUAAAGUUCUUCUUAGACCCAUUUUUCCAUACUUUUCUGCAAGGGAUUUUAGUACCUAAAUGAAACAUAUUUGCUUUCAUACACAUUUGUGUAUGUGUGUGGUGUUGAGGGGAGUUGAUGGAGAUGAAUGUGGAGGAUGACCAUGCUUUUAGACAUCACACCCUUCACCUGCCGCCUAAGAGCACAGGAUCUAAGGCCUCUGAAGAGAAUUCUUUACAUCCCUGGGAAACUCCGCUUCAAGGACAAGCCUGCAGUAUAUCUUCUAAAGGAUUUGUUGGGGCUGGAAGUGACUGAAAAUUGUUGAAAACUUAUGUCUACAUAAAAGCCUGCACAUGGAUGUUUAUAGCAACUUUAUCCAUAUUUGCCAAAACUUGGAAUUGACCAGGAUGUCUUUCAGUAGGUGAAUGGAUAAAUAGACUGUGAUACAUCCAAGCAAUGGAAUAUUAUUUAGUUCUAAAAAGAAAUGAGCUAUCAAGCAAUGAAAAGACACUGAGGAAACUAAAAAGCAUAUUGCUAAGUGAAAGAAGACAAUCUGAAGAGGCUACAUACUAUAUGAUUCCAGCAAUCUGACAUUCUGGAAAAGGCAAAACUAUGGAGACAGUAAAACCAUCAGUGGUUGCCAGAAGUAGGGCGGCAGCAGGCAGAGCACAGAGGAUUUUUAGGGCAGUGAAGCUAUUCUGUAUGAUACUACAAUACUGGGUACUUGUAUUACCCAUGGGUCUAAACUCAUAGAGUGUACAACACCAAGAGUGAAUCGAUUGCAACAAUUAUACCACUCUGGUUGGGGGAACUGAUGGUUGGGGAGGCUAUGCAUGUGGGGUGCAAAGGAUAUAUGGGAACUCUGUACUUUUUGUUCAGCUUUUGCUCAGUUUUGCUCUGAAUCUAAAAUUGCCCUAAAAAUAAAGUCAAUUAAUUUAAAAGGAAUGUUGGGGGGCCUUUGGAACUGAGAAGCCAUUUGACACAUUGGAAAUAACAUGGCCCUUGAAUCAGAAAAGCAUUAUUUGAAUCUUUACCGAUCAUUUUCCCGAUAACUUUGUGAGAUUUAACUUCUCUGUGCCUCGGUUUUCUCAGGAGUAAGUUAAAUGAAUAAUAUUUAUGUUGCAGGAUUGAUAUGAGGAGUAACUGAGGUACCUUCCUACUGGGGCCAAGGGAUUUGUCCUUUGUCCCUGUUGCAAAAUGAGGCAUGCACGUUAGGGGUAUGCUCCCAGAGCCUGGAGGCCCUUGGAAGGCAAUAGAUGAAACUACACCCUUUUCAGAGGUAGUAUAUAGGAGACAGAGGAAAGAGUAAAUACAACUAGUCUCAAGGAUAUUGUGUCUUAAAAUUUUACCUUUUACUCUAGCAGUGAUAAUGUGAGAUCUCCUUAGAUAAACUGGUGCUAUUUUUAAAAUACCACACAUACCGCCAUCCCUGAAAAAGAAUUUGAAAUGAUACUCAGAAAAUUUUUUAUUUCUUGAUAAGUUUUCCCUCCAAAUAUCAUUUGAAUAAUAUUUCCAAAAAUAGAAGAAAGAAAAAUACAUACAUGAAAGAAUUACUUGGAAGAAGUAGCCCCACUAUAUUGGAUCCUAAUCACUAAUCUUACUGAGAAAUUAAACUUGCAAUUAGACAUAUAAAUGGAGAGCAGUGACAGGCAAAGUAUCUUGAGAAAUAUGAAAAGAGAAAAAUUAAGGCAGUUGGAAGGAACGGAUAACCAGAAGAACUGUCAAGUGGCUUCUUUUCCAUUUUCUCCUUUACCCCACACCAAAAGUCCCUUAAUGGCCGGUGGCAGACCAACAAGCUCUGCCACAGCAUCCAUUUCUUCCUUUUUCUCUUCUAACAGUUCCCCUCAUUUUUGUUGUUAUUAUAUCCCUUUUGCCAUUUCCAACCCAUGGGCUUCGGGUAAAAAGUCCUUUUUCCCAGUUCGAGAGAUUAGUGUCAUUAAGAUACUCCCCCUCCUUUGCCAGUGGUCGCUUCAGAAACGGGCAUGUAAGGUGACAGUUUGUGCCAGGGAGGUGUGAGGAAUAUUUUGCUGAGGGUUUCGAGGAAAGACAUUUCCUUGCUCUUAAAAAAGAGCCAGUCUCUCGUUCUCUGGUCAUCCUGGAGAUGCAGAUAAAACACUCAGAACUGCCACAGCUCUUUUUCUGUUGUGCAGGAGCUAAUCUGAGGAUGAAAUUAAUUUCAUCCAGUGGAGGACUCGGGUGGGGGGAAUUAUGGAGAAAAAGGACUGGAGCUAUUGGCUUGUUUCAAAAAUACUAUGCCUUCCCUGGAAUUCUAGGGAUGUGAGACAAUACAUACCUUUAUCUGAACUAGCUUAAAUUAGUUUUUUAUUUGCAGCUGAAAGCAUUCUAGCCAAUAUCAGCCAACUAAUGUACUAUUAAAAAUGGUUAUUUCUGAGAGUUGGUUUUUAUUAACACGUGCACGAAAAAGUUAACAAAGAUCUGGUAAGACCUUUAGAUCAUGGCACAGGAUAAAGAAAAUCAGUAAUUUGAUACCAUGGGGAAGAAUACCAAAAAGGCAGUCGACUUGCCUGUCUGCAGCUACUGCCACUCAUUUUUUGAAUGAAUGAUUAAGCUGUUACCUUAAUGUCUUUUCAAUUCACUUUUUUUUUGACAGUUUUGUAAAUUGUUAUGUGAUCUCAUACUUAUCUGGGUUAGAGACUUAGCAGAAACACCAUGAAUAACUAUGUAAGAGAGUUGGAAUAAACUCAAUGGGACUUCAUCAUAUUGUGGAUAAUGGGAGCUGAGUAAUAUUGACAGUUAUAACAAAGAUGAUGGCAGGGAAUUUUUUAUAAGUGGGUUUAAUGCAACAUUGAAUCUAAAUGCAAUAACAUUUUAAGACUAGGUUUGAUAACAGGUAUUUUUAAAAGGUUGGAAUGUGUUAUCAAACUGUGGAGAUUGACUCACACUGAUACUUUCCAUGAUAUGAAAACAGUCUGCCUUGAUUUUUCAACAUACAAGUAAUUUCCAACAUAGAAAAGGACAACACACACUCGCUAGAUAUCCUGAAUUGACUCUCAGGUACUUUGAAUUUUACUUGUCAACCUUCUUAACGAGAAUGGGAUUAGACUGUCAUUGAUGUAGAAUAUACAUAAUAGGUCAUUCAUGAUGAAAGUAAAUGUGUAUUUGUUGAAUGAAUGAAUGAAUGUAAGUUAUUUUCACUUUCGUUUCAAUGACCACUUAAGCUAUUGGCCUACAUAAGGAAUUCUAUACCGUUAAGAUGCUGGAUUCUAUAAGCUACUCAUGAAACUCUUCAUCUUACUUUAUUGUCAGAUUUCACUGUACACAUUGGGUCCAGGUUCAUCUUUCCAGAUGCUUACAGAGUAUUUUCACAUGCAUGUUCCACUAUCAGCUCAAACUCAGAUAUUCCAAAUCAAGCCUCCCUCUC